rnacentral:rRNA from 1 species
AGUGAACGCUGGCGGUAGGCCUAACACAUGCAAGUCGAACGGCAGCACAGUAAGAGCUUGCUCUUACGGGUGGCGAGUGGCGGACGGGUGAGGAAUACAUCGGAAUCUACUUUUUCGUGGGGGAUAACGUAGGGAAACUUACGCUAAUACCGCAUACGACCUACGGGUGAAAGCAGGGGAUCUUCGGACCUUGCGCGAUUGAAUGAGCCGAUGUCGGAUUAGCUAGUUGGCGGGGUAAAGGCCCACCAAGGCGACGAUCCGUUGCUGGUCUGAGAGGAUGACCAGCCACACUGGAACUGAGACACGGUCCAGACUCCUACGGGAGGCAGCAGUGGGGAAUAUUGGACAAUGGGCGCAAGCCUGAUCCAGCCAUACCGCGUGGGUGAAGAAGGCCUUCGGGUUGUAAAGCCCUUUUGUUGGGAAAGAAAAGCAGCAGGUUAAUACCCCGCUGUUCUGACGGUACCCAAAGAAUAAGCACCGGCUAACUUCGUG